rnacentral:rRNA from 1 species
GGUUAAGCGACUAAGCGUACACGGUGGAUGCCCUGGCAGUCAGAGGCGAUGAAGGACGUGCUAAUCUGCGAUAAGCGUCGGUGAGGUGAUAUGAACCGUUAUAACCGGCGAUUUCCGAAUGGGGAAACCCAGUGUGUUUCGACACACUAUCAUUAACUGAAUCCAUAGGUUAAUGAGGCGAACCGGGGGAACUGAAACAUCUAAGUACCCCGAGGAAAAGAAAUCAACCGAGAUUCCCCCAGUAGCGGCGAGCGAACGGGGAGGAGCCCAGAGCCUGAAUCAGUGUGUGUGUUAGUGGAAGCGUCUGGAAAGGCGUGCGAUACAGGGUGACAGCCCCGUACACAAAAAUGCACAUAUUGUGAGCUCGAUGAGUAGGGCGGGACACGUGGUAUCCUGUCUGAAUAUGGGGGGACCAUCCUCCAAGGCUAAAUACUCCUGACUGACCGAUAGUGAACCAGUACCGUGAGGGAAAGGCGAAAAGAACCCCGGCGAGGGGAGUGAAAAAGAACCUGAAACCGUGUACGUACAAGCAGUGGGAGCCUCUUAAUGGGGUGACUGCGUACCUUUUGUAUAAUGGGUCAGCGACUUAUAUUCUGUAGCAAGGUUAACCGAAUAGGGGAGCCGAAGGGAAACCGAGUCUUAACUGGGCGUUAAGUUGCAGGGUAUAGACCCGAAACCCGGUGAUCUAGCCAUGGGCAGGUUGAAGGUUGGGUAACACUAACUGGAGGACCGAACCGACUAAUGUUGAAAAAUUAGCGGAUGACUUGUGGCUGGGGGUGAAAGGCCAAUCAAACCGGGAGAUAGCUGGUUCUCCCCGAAAGCUAUUUAGGUAGCGCCUCGUGAAUUCAUCUCCGGGGGUAGAGCACUGUUUCGGCAAGGGGGUCAUCCCGACUUACCAACCCGAUGCAAACUGCGAAUACCGGAGAAUGUUAUCACGGGAGACACACGGCGGGUGCUAACGUCCGUCGUGAAGAGGGAAACAACCCAGACCGCCAGCUAAGGUCCCAAAGUCAUGGUUAAGUGGGAAACGAUGUGGGAAGGCCCAGACAGCCAGGAUGUUGGCUUAGAAGCAGCCAUCAUUUAAAGAAAGCGUAAUAGCUCACUGGUCGAGUCGGCCUGCGCGGAAGAUGUAACGGGGCUAAACCAUGCACCGAAGCUGCGGCAGCGACACUAUGUGUUGUUGGGUAGGGGAGCGUUCUGUAAGCCUGUGAAGGUGGCCUGUGAGGGUUGCUGGAGGUAUCAGAAGUGCGAAUGCUGACAUAAGUAACGAUAAAGCGGGUGAAAAGCCCGCUCGCCGGAAGACCAAGGGUUCCUGUCCAACGUUAAUCGGGGCAGGGUGAGUCGACCCCUAAGGCGAGGCCGAAAGGCGUAGUCGAUGGGAAACAGGUUAAUAUUCCUGUACUUGGUGUUACUGCGAAGGGGGGACGGAGAAGGCUAUGUUGGCCGGGCGACGGUUGUCCCGGUUUAAGCGUGUAGGCUGGUUUUCCAGGCAAAUCCGGAAAACCAAGGCUGAGGCGUGAUGACGAGGCACUACGGUGCUGAAGCGACAAAUGCCCUGCUUCCAGGAAAAGCCUCUAAGCAUCAGGUAACAUCAAAUCGUACCCCAAACCGACACAGGUGGUCAGGUAGAGAAUACCAAGGCGCUUGAGAGAACUCGGGUGAAGGAACUAGGCAAAAUGGUGCCGUAACUUCGGGAGAAGGCACGCUGAUAUGUAGGUGAAGCGACUUGCUCGUGGAGCUGAAAUCAGUCGAAGAUACCAGCUGGCUGCAACUGUUUAUUAAAAACACAGCACUGUGCAAACACGAAAGUGGACGUAUACGGUGUGACGCCUGCCCGGUGCCGGAAGGUUAAUUGAUGGGGUUAGCGGCANNNNNNNNNNNNNNNNNNNNNNNNNNNNNNNNNNNNNNNNNNNNNNNNNNNNNNNNNNNNNNNNNNNNNNNNNNNNNNNNNNNNNNNNNNNNNNNGGCAACGCGAAGCUCUUGAUCGAAGCCCCGGUAAACGGCGGCCGUAACUAUAACGGUCCUAAGGUAGCGAAAUUCCUUGUCGGGUAAGUUCCGACCUGCACGAAUGGCGUAAUGAUGGCCAGGCUGUCUCCACCCGAGACUCAGUGAAAUUGAACUCGCUGUGAAGAUGCAGUGUACCCGCGGCAAGACGGAAAGACCCCGUGAACCUUUACUAUAGCUUGACACUGAACAUUGAGCCUUGAUGUGUAGGAUAGGUGGGAGGCUUUGAAGUGUGGACGCCAGUCUGCAUGGAGCCGACCUUGAAAUACCACCCUUUAAUGUUUGAUGUUCUAACGUUGGCCCGUAAUCCGGGUUGCGGACAGUGUCUGGUGGGUAGUUUGACUGGGGCGGUCUCCUCCUAAAGAGUAACGGAGGAGCACGAAGGUUGGCUAAUCCUGGUCGGACAUCAGGAGGUUAGUGCAAUGGCAUAAGCCAGCUUGACUGCGAGCGUGACGGCGCGAGCAGGUGCGAAAGCAGGUCAUAGUGAUCCGGUGGUUCUGAAUGGAAGGGCCAUCGCUCAACGGAUAAAAGGUACUCCGGGGAUAACAGGCUGAUACCGCCCAAGAGUUCAUAUCGACGGCGGUGUUUGGCACCUCGAUGUCGGCUCAUCACAUCCUGGGGCUGAAGUAGGUCCCAAGGGUAUGGCUGUUCGCCAUUUAAAGUGGUACGCGAGCUGGGUUUAGAACGUCGUGAGACAGUUCGGUCCCUAUCUGCCGUGGGCGCUGGAGAACUGAGGGGGGCUGCUCCUAGUACGAGAGGACCGGAGUGGACGCAUCACUGGUGUUCGGGUUGUCAUGCCAAUGGCACUGCCCGGUAGCUAAAUGCGGAAGAGAUAAGUGCUGAAAGCAUCUAAGCACGAAACUUGCCCCGAGAUGAGUUCUCCCUGACUCCUUGAGGGUCCUGAAGGAACGUUGAAGACGACGACGUUGAUAGGCCGGGUGUGUAAGCGCAGCGAUGCGUUGAGCUAACCGGUACUAAUGAACCGUGAGGCUUAACCUU